GGUUGGCCAAGCGGUCAAAGGCGCUGCGUUCAUGUCGCAGUACCGCCCGGUUUGGCGUGGGUUCAACUCCCGUCGAGCAAUU